rnacentral:rRNA from 1 species
CCAAUAGCGUAUAUUAAAGUUGUUGCAGUUAAAAAGCUCGUGGUUGAAUUUCGGGAUUCGUCCAUUGGUCAGGCUUAACUGUCUGUACUGGUGUGUCGGAUUUCUACCUUCUGAAGAACCUUUAUGCCAUUAAUUUGGUGUGUUGGGGAAUCAGGACUGUUACUUUGAAAAAAUUAGAGUGUUUAAAGCAGGCUAACGUCUGAAUACAUUAGCAUGGAAUAAUGAAAUAGGACGGUACGGUUCUAUUUUGUUGGUUUCUAGGAUCGCCGUAAUGAUUAAUAGGGAUAGUUGGGGGCAUUAGUAUUCAAUUGUCAGAGGUGAAAUUCUUGGAUUUAUUGAAGACUAACUACUGCGAAAGCAUUUGCCAAGGAUGUUUUCAUUAAUCAAGAACGAAAGUUAGGGGAUCGAAGACGAUCAGAUACCGUCGUAGUCUUAACCAUAAACUAUGCCGACUAGGGAUUGGACGAUGUUAAUUUUUUAAUGACUCGUUCAGCACCUUACG